rnacentral:lncRNA from 1 species
GGGGGGGGUUUCUUUCCACAGCAGAAUGGUAGGAGAAAUUUGGUUUAAUGCUGUUAAUCAAAUUUUAAAUGGUACAAACAUUAUUUUUUCAGGGAUUUACCUAUCAAAGCAAGGACAUUGGAAUAAUGGUUUUAAAGAAUGAAGAGAAGAGGACUAAAUGUCUGUACACCCCAAGAAAGCACCUGGUGGAGUCUGGCAGGAAGUAGAUAAAGGCGAUGAGGAUGACAUAGGAGGGGUGGAAGAAGAAGAGAGCUGGAACCAGGAAAAGGCCUUCACUGCUAGAGGAACGCCCGGAAGUCAACCCAAGUCCCAGCUGCUUGGAAACAGAGAAAGCAGAGGAGGGAGAAACGUGCUAAUCAGGAGUCACCUGGUCAAAGAAGGGAAACCAGGAGGGAGAAAGGAAGCUGGAGAAUCCCAGUGUUGGAGAGAGCUCCUCUGUCCCUCAGUGCACUUGAGGCAGGUUAGUAUAGUGAAG